rnacentral:rRNA from 1 species
AUUGAACGCUGGCGGCAGGCCUAACACAUGCAAGUCGAGCGGUAGAGAGGUGCUUGCAUCUCUUGAGAGCGGCGGACGGGUGAGUAAUGCCUAGGAAUCUGCCUAGUGGUGGGGGGAUAACGUUUCGGAAACGGACGCUAAUACCGCAUACGUCCUACGGGAGAAAGCGGGGGAUCUUCGGACCUCGCGCCAUUAGAUGAGCCUAGGUCGGAUUAGCUAGUUGGUGAGGUAAUGGCUCACCAAGGCGACGAUCCGUAACUGGUCUGAGAGGACGACCAGCCACACUGGGACUGAGACACGGCCCAGACUCCUACGGGAGGCAGCAGUGGGGAAUUUUGGACAAUGGGCGCAAGCCUGAUCCAGCAAUGCCGCGUGCAGGAUGAAGGCCUUCGGUUGUAACGUUACGUCGUUUUA